AUGGAGGGGGCGGGCUCUGCAGGGAAGUGCGUCAGAGGAGGCGCGGGGAGAGUAGGGUGCUGUGGUCCGAGCUAGAGGGUGAAGCUGGCGGAGCAGGAGGAUGGGCGGUGAUAGACUAGAGAACAAGACCUCUGUCUCCGUAGCAUCCUGGAGCAGUCUGAAUGCCAGAAUGGAUAACCGUUUUGCUACAGCAUUUGUAAUUGCUUGUGUGCUUAGCCUCAUUUCCACCAUCUACAUGGCAGCCUCCAUUGGCACAGACUUCUGGUAUGAAUAUCGAAGUCCAGUUCAAGAAAAUUCCAGUGAUUUGAAUAAAAGCAUCUGGGAUGAAUUCAUUAGUGAUGAGGCAGAUGAAAAGACUUAUAAUGAUGCACUUUUUCGAUACAAUGGUACAGUGGGAUUGUGGAGACGGUGUAUCACCAUACCCAAAAACAUGCAUUGGUAUAGCCCACCAGAAAGGACAGAGUCAUUUGAUGUGGUCACAAAAUGUGUGAGUUUCACACUAACUGAGCAGUUCAUGGAGAAAUUUGUUGAUCCCGGAAACCACAAUAGCGGGAUUGAUCUACUUAGGACCUAUCUUUGGCGUUGCCAGUUCCUUUUACCUUUUGUCUGUGUACACUGGGCUCAGUAAGUUGUUAUGUUGCUGGAAUUGAACUACUCCACCAGAAACUAGAGCUCCCUGACAAUGUAUCCGGUGAAUUUGGAUGGUC
rnacentral:sRNA from 1 species